GGGCGCGUAGCUCAGCUGGCUAGAGUGCCACGUUGACAUCGUGGAGGUCACAGGUUCAAGUCCUGUCGCGCCCA
rnacentral:tRNA from 2 species